GAAAUGCGAUAAGUAAUGUGAAUUGCAGAAUUCCGUGAAUCAUCGAAUCUUUGAACGCACAUUGCGCCCUCUGGUAUUCCGGGGGGCAUGCCUGUCCGAGCGUCAUUGCAACCCCUCAAGCACGGCUUGUGUGAUGGGCCCUCCCGCGUCUUGGUCGUCAAGACGGGCCCGAAAUGCAGUGGCGGCUUCGCGGUUAUCCGAUCAGCCAGAGCGUAUGGGGACUCUCUCUCUUGUCACACGCCCGCGGCGCGGACCGACGCCUGUCGUCCUUUAUUCAUCUUCUCUCGGUUGACCUCGGAUCAGGUAGGGAUACCCGCUGAACUUAAGC
rnacentral:misc_RNA from 1 species